UCCUAAUUAGAUCUAAAAAAACGAAUUAGCAUGCAAUUAAACUAAAGCUAUGGGGGUACAGAAGUGGAGCUGGGCUGCAAUCCAAGAAGAGUGGGGGGGUGCAGAGUUGAACAACCUUGAAUGCUUCAGCAUACGAAACAAAUGAACACUCCCGUUCCUCCAUCUUCCUCUCAUUCGAAAGCUUUGAAGCAGAUCGGAAAUGGAUUCAAACGUUGAUCCCUCAUUCUCAUCUCAACAUUCACCCUCUCUUUCACAAAUGAAGCCUCCCUCUGAUUCUUCUUAUUCACGCACAUAAAUGAUGAACAAGAAAGAGAAGAAAAGACCUACCAAAGCGGUGCUCCGAUGCGGUGGCUACCAGUGACAGCAGGUAACGUUUUGCUUUCUUCUUCCUUUGAUCCUCCCCGAUGCCGCUUUCCUUCCUCGGUCCUCUUCCUCCUUGCGUUCUUAUUGAGUUCUAGUGAAUGUAGAGGGAUGAAUCCCGUGAAAGAGAGUUUUUAGUUGAUUCGUUGUCAGUGAAGAAUCGGUUCUGCAGUGAAGAAAACUUUUAUUUGUGUGUUAAAAUGAUGAACUCUCUUUCUUUCAAUCACACGGAUCUAAUCACAGCUACAACACGUGGAAUGGUCUCCCUACAUUACCUCAAGAACAAAAUACUAGGAAAAAUCAUGAAAAUAGUUUGGCUUUGGGAGUCCCAUGUCAGACUCAAAACUUCGACUCUUGUAACAUUUCACCAAAUGGAGUAGACCAGAAAAUACCAGUUUCCUCAGAUGCUGAAUUCACCAAUGCAAAUGCUUAUUCGAUUCUUACUCUCCGGAAAUCCUUGGAGUCAGUAAGAAAACUGUUCAGGGCAUUUACAACAGAAAAUGAUAGUUGAGGUGAUGCCUCAAGGGCUGCAAUUGCUUGGGCCUGAGUAAUAACAUUUCUGCCCUUCUCUAAUCGAUUAAUCUACAUCUGAACUGGUUGAUUAAAAUAAACCUCAGUAAGGUACUCCAUGUCAGGGUCUGCUCUGAUCCAGAAUAAAGGGGACUCUGUACUGGAGCGUGUAUCCAUUGAAGGCAUGUCACCGUCGUUGGUUUUUUUGAAACUGUCUAGCAGCAAGCCUUGAGUAGCAUUAACUAUUACGUGGGAUUUUUAUGAAGUUCCUUGAUUGAUACUUCAAUUGCCGCGGAUGGUUGCAGGUGUAUGGUUUAAAUGGUGGUCAUGAGGGUUGGAUAAUUGCAACUGUCUUGGCUAGGUUUAGGUGUUUGUAUUGUAAUGAGAGUAAUGGAUGUUAUUGAAUGAUAAGUGUUGAAUUGGUUUCUAAAUGGAAAUGCUUUUUAGAAAUUGUAUUGAUGAAAUUGGUUUAUGCUUAUGAUGAACUUGAAUGCCAUAUUGUCUUA